UACGGAGGGUGCAAGCGUUAAUCGGAAUUACUGGGCGUAAAGCGCACGCAGGUGGCUGAGUCAGUCGAUUGUGAAAGCCCUGGGCUUAACCUGGGAAUUGCAGUCGAUACUACUCAGCUAGAGUAUGGGAGAGGGCAGUGGAAUUCCCGGUGUAGCGGGUGAAAUGCGUAGAUAUCGGGAGGAACAUCAGUGGCGAAGGCGGCUGCCUGGCCCAAUACUGACACUCAGGUGCGACAGCGUGGGGAGCAAACAGGG
rnacentral:rRNA from 1 species